rnacentral:misc_RNA from 1 species
GUGAGUCAUCGAAUCUUUGAACGCACCUUGCGCUCCUUGGUAUUCCGAGGAGCAUGCCUGUUUGAGUGUCAUUAAAUUCUCAACCUUUAUUAACUUUUUGGUUAGUAAGUGGAUUGGAAGUGGGGGCAUGUUGGUUUCUUCAUUGAAAUAAACUCCCCUGAAAUGCAUUAGCUGGUUGCCUUGUGCGAACAUGUCUAUUGGUGUGAUAAUUAUCUACGCCGUGGGCUAUUUGCCGUUUAUAGCACUGCUUAUAAUCGUCUGUUCAUUCAGACAAUAUAUGACAAUUUGACCUCAAAUCAG